GCACUCCGCGUGUGGGAGCUGCAGCGGGCGCGGGGCCCGCGAGCGGGGCAACUGCGGCUUCUUAGAGAUGUGCCAAGCACGUAUUUCUAACGGAAGGCACCUAGGCAUUAGACUGGGAGGAGUGACGCGUGCACAAACUGAGUUUCUGCAUUGCCGUAGUUGUUCUGUAACUCUUUUUCAAAUGCUAUGGAUUGGCACAUGGGUCCAGGGAGGGAAGACCUACCAGUCAACCCAGUGGGAUACUCCGUUUCUUCACUCAGCUCUUGUGAGGCCACACCUAGAGUACUGUGCACGACUUUGGGCCCCUCACAACAAGAAAUACACUGAGGCUUCGGAGUGUGUCCAGAGAAGGGCAAUGAAGCUGGUCUGGAGCACAAGGAAUGGCUGAGAGAGAUGGGAUUGUUUAGUCUGGAGGAGGGUCAGGGGAGACCUCAUCACUCACUACAGCUCUCUGAAGGGAGGCUAUGGCCAGGUGGGGGUCAGCCUUUUCUUCCAUUCAUUCCAGAAUGACAGGGAAUGGCUUUAAGUUGCAGCAGUUCAGGUUGGAUAUGAGGAAAAAUUUCUUCUCCGGAAGCGUGGUGAGAUGUUGGAACAAGGUGCCCACGGAGGUGGUGGAGUCACUGUUCCUGGAGGUUUUCAAGACGUAGAUGUCACACUGAGAGAUGUGGGUUAGUGGGCAUGGUGGUAGUGGAUUGACAGUUGGACUGCAUGGUCUUACUGGUCUUUUCCGGCCUUCUAUGAUCCUGUGAUUGUUUCAACAGCACUUUGAGGUGAACCUCACGUACGUGAGAGGCUUCAGCAGUUAGUUGUCUGGGGUCCACGUCUGCAGUGAAGGAAACGAGCAUUCUGCAGUGAGUUGAGGCAGAGUGUGAGACGAUUUUUGAAUUAAAAGAAAGCGUCGAUUUUAGAGUCACACAGAAGCAUGAGUAACAGGGUCUGGGCAGUGGAUGCUCACAGCUUUGCAAGAGUACCCCAUACAAAACCAGACCUCAGCGUUGCCACCAUGCCAGGGGGCUUUUGCCAAUGCCAAGCUGCAGGGGGGAGUGCGGCGUCUAGCAGACGGAUAUCUGUAAUCAGAAUUAGCAACAGAUAGUGCCCUGAUUGGCUGCCUCUGCAAAGAGGCUAACCCGGGAAGAAAUGGGAUUAAACUGCUCCCUCACCUCCAGGCAUCCCGGGGAUCACUGCUUCAUGUUUGAAGUAGUGCUCGUACUGAUGCUGCCCAUCUCCAGACAAGUUUUCAUGUAAAGAAAGGCUCCCUGGCACCGUCGCUCCUAUCUCUCUGCUUCCAAAUCUCAUGCUUUGGACUUGGUGUAAAUUACAGCAUGACAGCACUGUUAAGUUUCAGGGCUCCAUUCAGAGAACUUUCUGUUUCCCGCUCAGCUGGUGUGGCCAUCUGUCCAGCCAGCACAACUCUAUCUCUUAUAGCACCACUUGUACUUUGGAAGAACUUCAGCUUUCCUUAAAAUCCUGAUGCUGACAGGGAGCAUUUGCACUGCUGUCAGGCAGAACUUACCGUAGGAGCUCAGUGCCCAGAAAGGCUCCUGCCUGUGGUAACUCUGAGCAGCAGAAAAAGUAGAAGAGUGAAUUCUAACAGAACAGGAACAAAUAUUUUCUUUAAGGUGUCAGAUUAAUACAGAGCAUGCACUAUGCUUCACUUUUCAUUUUUCACUUUUACAACUGCUGCUGAGGCUGUUGGUUAGCCUCUGUGCAACGCGACAAUGAGCAACAAGACACCACAGAAGGGUGCAGCAUACUGCAUGCAGACCCUUCCUUGGCCACCCAAGACGAUGCUGCAGAUCUUGGUCCUGCCAGCACGAUGCUGAUCUGCUUGAGCACAGCCAUAUAGGUAAAACAGAUUACGCUCAGUUUCUAAAUGCCUUCAGUGGCAUGGCAAACAGGGUUUCUUGUCAUUUGUGCUUCAGUGUGCAACUGAAGAGAGAACAACGUGAAGAAAGGCUACAGAAUAAGUCUGCAAAAUGCUUUCAGUUGAACAGAAAGAAACUGUUUACAUGGCUUCUGUAAGAGGACAGCCUCAAACCUUUUUUCUAGAAUAGAUACCAGUUAAUGUCACUGGAGUUAAGUGUUGGUAUUUAGAAAUUUUGCAAUAAAAACAAAGAAAUAAAGAUUGCCAUCUUAAAGCAAAUAGCCUUAUAUUGUAUCUAUUUAUCACCAUCUCAUCAAAAUUUACUGCUGGAAAUUAACAAGGCAGGAAAUUAAAAUAUCCAGAGCAGAUCCUACCUGUCUUCAUGCAGACAAAACUUCCUUUGAAAAAAAUACAAGUUUUUGGAAUGACGAUAGCACUGAGCCCCCACAGUUUGCCUCGUUAAGGUUUACAAGCCAUUUCCUUUACAAACAGUUCUGAGGCUGAGAUUUAAUGAGGUUUAUGUCUAAUAGUAAAAUUAGAAUGAAGAUUCAGUGAGUGUUGAGUGUCCCUCCCACACUCAAUGAUUUAACCUAGGGAAAAAUUUCACGUACUGAAGAGAUUGCCAGUGUUGUUAAAAAGAAAAUCUGGUCAGGACAAAAGAGUAGGUUUCUAGAAGGAAAAGUAAAUAAAUCCAAUUACUUGCUUGGAUUGUUUAGCUAUUUGGAACUUCGGAUAGACGGGAAUGCUGAUUAUGUCUUAUUUUUACCUGCAGGAUGCCUGUGUACCCUUUUUGAAGUUCUGGGGGUGUUUCCCUCUUCCUCAGAUGAGCUCUUUGCAAAAAUCCUGCAAACAAGAGAAGAUGAGGCUGGUGAGAUACUCAAGGUAAUGUAAUGGAGGGAUAUAAGCGUCAUAAUCCAAAGCUCCACUGCAGGAAGCCACGUACUUAAGUCUUUUUGGACAAUUUCCUCAGAACUGUGAAAAACUACUGUUGCAGCAUGCUCCUGUGUAGCAGAGGGCUCCCCACUUACCUGUGAAAAGAUGUCACUCAGAUUUUCCACAUAUCUGUGGGUGCUUUCAGCCUUUCUAGCACUAAGUUUUGGCUCUGGGAUGUUCAGGAUAUGGCUUUACAGUUUGGAAGAGGUUCAGGUGGUAUUUAACUUCAAGCCAUGGGUACCAAGUGCUAGCCAAUUACCACAGACAUGUGCCAGUCUCCCCCUGCUGUAGUCCUGCGUCAGUAAACUGUAAGCAAGUGAGUACUGAAUUCAUUCUAAUUCAGUAUUUUCUGACAAACCCCAGAGAAAGCCUUAAUAUGUGACCCACUUUCUAUUUCUGAAAUACAAUGUUUUUAAUCCUCUUUCUGUUUCAGUUUUGCCUAAUACAAACUGGGAGUCGGUCCCUGCUAUCUAAUGCAAUCCACUAGCGGAAAAGCACUGUCAGAAAAACAGAAACAGAAAUAUUUUUUCCAAGUAAAGAAAUUAAAGACAAAGUCUGAAAGUUUCGCUGCCAAAUGUAUUCGUUUCGAGUGUGUUUGUCUCAUUGAACACUCCUGUGAGAAUUUGGAGCACUUUAGAAUAGAGCUUGCACCAUGGCAUGCUUCAGCACAGAGCCUGAGUUCCUGUUGUAAAGGUGAAUAUCGUUCUCAUUUUAUAGGCGCUGAAAUUGAAUUAGAGAGUAUUUAGAUGCAGCAGAGCAAUGCAUAAUGUGACUCUAAGCAUACAAAUGUCUUAUUUUGGAACUACUCAAAUGCUUUAAACAAGUCAUGGUUUAAAUGGCUUGUCCAAAACCAUACAGCCAGGAAGAUGAGGGAGAGGGUCCGGCUCCUUACUGAGAUCUUUAAAGAAAGUAUCCUAAAUAUAAAUAGCGCAUCUCCAUCGAGGCUACAGGUGCUCAUAUUGAAGCUGUUUCUCUUUUUGGAAUGUAAUGAAUGCUGGCCAGCAAAUAUUGUAAAAGGCACUUUGUAACAUUGAAGUCAACACAGUAAUUAUAUUCAAUAUCCUGUGUUUUUGUCAGGCUUUCUUCUAGACAACUGAAUAUAAACUAGAGCACUGAUAAGCAAAGUAUUCUCCAGGAAGGAUACAAGACUACUUUAUUGCUUCACAUAACUUUUUUUUCAGUUUGCACUUACAUGGUAUCAAAGUAAUAUCACAUUGAAAACGUGACUGUGUGUGCAAGGAGUCAUGCUUCAGAGGAGGAGUUCUUUUCUCUUUCCUGUCUCUUCCAGAGAUAACUGGUCUUUCUGGCAUUAACUGGUGGUUUCACCGGAGCACGCAGCAUUGUGAUUAACCAGGGGCUUCAACUGAAAGGCAUGCAUGCAUUUUUGCAAUUUAAUGAUAAAGAUAUGUGUGCUUUGAAAACAUAUUAGAAACUUGUAGAAUGACUGUGGGGCUAUUAUUAUUUUCAUAUUGUGCCCUGCUAGCUUUCAUCGCCUCUAACAGGAUCAUACUGUUUCUCAUCUUUGCAGAAAUGUGAUGUUCUUGAAGGAGAUUUCUUUUUCCUGGAAACAUUUAAGUUGUCAUGUUGCCAGGUUAAAAUAAAGAGACUCUUGUCUCAUCCAAAAGUUUCCUUCCUUCUUGGUGCUUUUGUAAUGCAGUUUCCACAAAUUGCAAACAUCAUGGGACUUGUCCCAAGAGAUGCUCAAGGAAAAACUGAAUGUUAUACAUGUAGCAUACCCCCUUACAAACCAUACCUCCCAUUUGAUCAUCAUUUAUGCAGUUCAAAAUGUCUUACUCUGUUGUACCUCCUUCCUCAGCACCUUUUGGCAAGAAAAUACCCUUCCUUUUAUUUUCUAUGGAAGAAAUCAUAGACUCAUAGAAUGGCCUGGGUUGAAAAGGACCACAAAGAUCAUGUAGUUUCACCCCCCCUGCUAUGUGCAGGGUCUCCAACCACCAGAUCAGGCUGCCCAGAGCCACAUCCAGCCUGGCCUUGAAUGCCUCCAGGGAUGGGGCAUCCACACCUCCUUGGGUAACCUGUUCCACUGCGUCACCACCCUCUGAGUGAAAAACUUCCUCCUAAUAUCCAACCUAAACCUCUUUGUGGUGCAUGGUUCGAUUGAUUGUUGUCUUGUACAGCUGUCUUCUGUAUGGGUAUAGUCUAUGAAAAUGAGGAGCUGUCACUGUUAGAAAUAUAUUAUGGAUCUUUUUUGCCCUCUGUACUGAGCUAGUUGGAAAGUAAUACCACACUGAGAGUACAAUAUCUUCUUUCUGUGUUGUUCUCGUAAAAUACAUUCUCUUUACAGAUCCAAAAAAGUGUGCUUCUGAUUCAGUAAAGGAUGUAUAAGAAUCGCAUGGUUUUAUUUUCUCUUGAUGCAUUCUGUGAAUUUAGUGUGACUUCCUUUUUAUUGCUUCUUGAAUAUCCAGCAACAAGAAAGUCUUCAGCUUUCUCUGUAAGAAGGCAGCAUUGAGGGAUGAAAUUUUCACAGUCAAACUACUUCACAAACA
ensembl:lncRNA